rnacentral:rRNA from 1 species
UGCAAGUCGAACGCGAAAGUGGGGCUUGCUCCACGAGUAGAGUGGCGAAAGGGCGAGUAAUGCGUUUCUAACGUGCCCCAGGGUCGGGGAUAGCUCACCGAAAGGUGAAUUAAUACCCGAUGAUCCCAUCCACCGUAUGGCGUGAUGGGCAAAGGCUUGCUGCCCUGGGAUCGGGGAACGUGCUAUCAGGUCGUUGGUGAGGUAACGGCUCACCAAGCCUAAGACGGCUAGCGGGUGUGAGAGCACGACCCGCCGCAUCGGGACUGAGACACUGCCCGGACUCCUACGGGAGGCUGCAGUAACGAAUAUUCCGCAAUGCGCGAAAGCGUGACGGAGCAAUGCCGCGUGCAGGAUGAAGCCCCUCGGGGUGUAAACUGCUGUCAGGGUUUAGAAACACAAUGAUCAGACCCAAAGGAAGAGCCGGCUAACUCUGUGCCAGCAGCCGCGGUAAUACAGAGGGCUCAAGCGUUAAUCGGUGUCACUGGGCUUAAAGGGUGCGUAGGCGGGCCUGUAAGCGUCUUGUGAAAUCCCACGGCUCAACCGUGGAACUGCUUGGCAUACUGCAGGCCUUGAGGUCGGUAGGGGCUGCCGGAACUCUAGGUGUAGCGGUGAAAUGCGUAGAUAUCUAGAGGAACGCCAAAGGUGAAGACAGGCAGCUGGGCCGAUCCUGACGCUGAGGCACGAAAGCGUGGGUAGCGAACGGGAUUAGAUACCCCGGUAGUCCACGCCCUAAACGAUGUGUACUAGAUCGUGGAGGUUUUGACGCCAUCACGGUCGAAGCAAAAGUGUUAAGUACACCGCCUGGGGGAGUACGGUCGCAAGAUUAAAACU